GGGGCCCCACACAUCUCCCGGGCCCCGGUCCUGAUGCUGCGUCCCCGGGCCUGGAACAUGGUGGAGCACAACAUGAUGGUGGAGGGAAAGGAAGCUCCUGGUCCUCUGUUUGACUUUGGCCUACUCAUGUAUCACUGUGGAAGGACACUGCUUGAACACCAGAGUGGACCAUUUUUCUACCUGUCAAAGGUGGAGAGCCUGGUGGAGGCCAGGAUGUGGAACAACAUCUUCACCUGGACACAACAGAAG